GGUUAUUGUAGUGUAGUGGUUAUCACGUUCGCCUCACACGCGAAAGGUCCCUGGUUCGAAACCGGGCAGAAACCA